rnacentral:rRNA from 1 species
UGAGGAAUUUUGCGCAAUGGGGGAAACCCUGACGCAGCAACGCCGCGUGGGUGAUGAAGGCCUUCGGGUCGUAAAGCCCUGUCGGGCGGGAAGAACGUCCCUUCGGGGAAUGACGGUACCGCCAGAGGAAGCACCGGCUAACUCCGUGCCAGCAGCCGCGGUAAUACGGAGGGUGCAAGCGUUAUUCGGAAUUACUGGGCGUAAAGGGCGUGCAGGCGGGGGGGCAAGUCUGAUGUGAAAGCCCGGGGCUUAACCCCGGAAGGGCAUUGGAAACUGCUUUUCUUGAGUUCUGGAGAGGAAGGUGGAAUUCCCGGUGUAGAGGUGAAAUGCGUAGAGAUCGGGAGGAACAUCAGUGGCGAAGGCGCCCUUCUGGACAGCAACUGACGCUGAGACGCGAAAGCGUGGGGAGCAAACA